rnacentral:lncRNA from 1 species
ACAAAAGGGUGUGCACAGAAAUAGAGGGAACUAAAGAUCUUCUUACAGUACAUCCAAGAAUUUUUUGGAAAGUGGUAUCUUGAAGAAGUGGUAAUAAGAGCCCAUGCCAGAUAAAUUUUAUCUGUAAACUUGAAUUAUACACCUCUUGCUUCACCCCUUUACUCAUUUCUUGAAAUAUAAUUCAUACAUAUUUAUUCCCUGCUCUCUCUUUCAUUUCUGGUGAAUAAUGUUCAAGAAUCACUGGUAUGUUCUCUUAGCCUGAACCUNUUGGAGAUGCUCUAACCUCUUUAUUUAGGCUCCUAAUUUGAGAUUUGAGGAGGGAGAGGAAAAAUGUUGCUCCAAGACUCUUAAGUGGCUCUUAAAUCACUAAGAGCCUCUUAUUUCUCUCUCCUCUCUCCUCAAAGUUAAGAGCUACUACAUUGCUCCUAACUUAUUUUUUCACAAUAAAAAAGUCCUUCCCUCCAAUUCACCUCCAUCUUUCCAUCUCUUUUGUUAUAGUGGAGCCCAAAUAUGAAUAAAAUAUGAAAUAGAGAAGAGAUGUAGAGAGUAUUGUUGGAGUUUACACUCUUAACUUUGUCCUAAAUUGCUAAGAGCCACAUUUUUUAUAUUAUAUUUAGGAGCCAACAAGGAGGCUCUUGGAGAUGCUCUAAGGUAAGCAAGCACAAACACAAUUAUUUUAAAUUGUGAUUUCAGUAUUAUCUAUUAGCUUAAUUGGGAAGUAUGGUCAAUAUAAGAAGAUGCUGGUGGGGAGGGGAGGCGCCAAUAUGAUACUAACUUAAUUAUAAUCCUUCUUAAUUGUCACACUUUGAAGUUUUCAGGUACAAUAAUCUUUGUUAAUUGAAUAGUGACAGGCACCUUGCUAUUGAAUGAUUAGACAAUUAAGGUGGCUUUCACGUUUCCUUAAAGUGAAUUUAUAUAAAACUAUCUUGUUAAUUUGGUUAGUUUUUAAGAUCCUCGAGUAAUAAUAUGUAUUCCGAAUGUUGUUUUUAUACUUUUUUAUAAUAUAACGUAACAGACAAAUUUAAACCAGUAUAUUAUUAAUUUCGACCGUAAGCUGUAACCAAUCAUAUGUUAUCAAUUAGAUUCAGCAAAAAAUAAAUUUAAAAACACUUUUUAGAUAUCCGUCAUUUUCAUUAUUAUAUUUAAGAGAAAUUGGUAUAUUGGUCUAAAUUAGACACAUUAUUGAAAUUGUUCUGCCGCCGUUUUUUAGUUUUGACUUUUUUCUGAUCAAUCAAAUUUUAAUUGAAAUUUAUGUAUAUUAUAUAAUGAAAAAAUUGAAAAAAUAAAUUAAAUAAAAUAUAUAUAGUUUACUUUAGAACAAUAUUUAAGCGUCCUAAAAUUACAUAAAUAUACUCCCUCUGGUCUCUUAAGUUGUACACGCAGCGGAACCGGCACACACUUUAAUCCUUCUACUUAAUUCUAUUCUAUACAUUCACUAUCUGGCACGCACUUUAAUGCUUCCCUAAACUAUUAAAUUUUAUUCAGAAAAGAAAAUUUAAAAAUAAGUUAUAAAACUACAUUUUAUUGGGCAUUAAAGUGCGCGUCAAAUAGCGAACGUAUAGAAUAAAUUGGGACGAAGAGAGUAAUUUAUAAAAUCAAUUUAAUGAACCACACGUCAACUCUAAACAUGUAAAUAUCGAAAACGAAUAAUAAUUUUACAGUAGAGUAAGUAAAAUAUUAUUUGAUAUAUAUUAAAUAAUAAUUUUUCCAUUAAACGAACUCACAAUUUUGAGCAAGGCCUUUUCUCCUCUAUGUAAGAAAUACACGUGCUUACGUUAUGUUGAACCUUGAUUCAGAUCUCUUUCGCUAAUAUAAUGAAUUAAUCAGUUAAAUCACAGAUCAACUUAUUAAAAUUUAUGCAAUAAUCACACAAAUUGGCAAUUUCAGAUCUACACAAAUCAGAAAAUCGAGAAUUUUUAGAAAUAUACAACAAUUUAGAGUGGUAUAUAUGUGAUAUAUGUCAAAAAAGUACACUGGACAUGAUGGCUGUGGACCGGGGGAGCACAACUACGAAAUGUACAAUUAGAGCUGGCGUAUCUGACUCGAAAAGAAUAUUAGAGUACUAUUCUCAACAUUAUUAUUAAAGUUGACAAUGAAAUCUAAAAAUAAUUUAAUGUUGUUCUCCUUGCAUUCUCUGUUAAAUUCAUCAACUUUUCAGUUCUUGAACUGCAACUCUGAUCAAACAGUAUCUUAACAGCCUCUUCUACCAGAUACACAUAAAAAUUUAGAUUUAUUUCCCUCUUUUCUUCUGAUGAAUCUUUCUUUAUUUGUCUUAUUACAAAAGGGUGUGCACAGAAAUAGAGGGAACUAAAGAUCUUCUUACAGUACAUCCAAGAAUUUUUUGGAAAGUGGUAUCUUGAAGAAGUGGUAAUAAGAGCCCAUGCCAGAUAAAUUUUAUCUGUAAACUUGAAUUAUACACCUCUUGCUUCACCCCUUUACUCAUUUCUUGAAAUAUAAUUCAUACAUAUUUAUUCCCUGCUCUCUCUUUCAUUUCUGGUGAAUAAUGUUCAAGAAUCACUGGUAUGUUCUCUUAGCCUGAACCUUUUUUUUUUUAAUUUAUUAUUAUGCUUGUUUAGAAUUCUUUGGCAAUUUAUCAGGAUUUUGUUGAAUAAUUGUGUUAUUGUCUUGUUGGUAUAUGGGUUUUGAUUAUUUGAAGCAUCUGUUAGGAAAUUAGUAUGCACUGUUAUGUUACCUGGUUAAGAGGUUGAGAAGGGUUCGAGAUUUGGUGGAGGGCCUGGAGGCAUGUGUAUAAGUAUUUAAAAAUCUGGAAUUCGACCAUUAUGAAUAAAGGAGUUAAAAUUUAUGUGAUAGUUUUCUUUUUCAUGGAUUCUUGUUUUUGUUUCAUGUUUCUCUUAGUGUUUUGUCAAAUUCAUAUGUUUGAGGUUUAUGUUCAAGGUAUUAGUGAUUGUUAUGUUGAACUAGAAGCAACUCUGUUGCACCUGGUGCUA